AAGCUGCGUGUUCGGCUGCUGCCAGUGCAGGGAGGAGAGUGAGGGGUGGUGCCAGGGGGAGAGUGCGGAACAGCAGAGCCAGGCUGGCUUCCUCCAUCUUCACCUUUUCCACAAGCCACGGCAGCAUCCUUGCCUGUCUCCCAGGGACACGCAGAAGCUUGAAACAGUGUCAGCCAGGGGCCUUCAUUUGAGCAAAGCUUCUGUAACCCAAGAAGGGCCCUCACGAAGGAGAAGCAGGAACUCCCAGAGCGAUGGCCUUUCACACAAGCUGCACAUCCCAGGCCGAUCAGUUAGCAUGGGUGUUGGAGCAGCCUGUGUCUGCAAACAGCCCUGGCUAUCUCCAGCCAAGUUCUUACCCACUGCCCACCAGCAUGACACCUGACCACAUACACAGCUCCCUCUCUGCUCCAGAAGUUAGCCCUGCCCUGUAUUACGGCUGCAAAGCAGUGACUCAGGAGCAUGCAUCAGCCCUGGAUGGAUGCAGGAGGGAAGAUGAGGGAAUGCACCCAACUGCGCAUGAGGCCUCUGGCUAAAGGUGAGUCCCAGGCUCACCACUCCUGGAUUGGACCAUUGGAAAGGGGGCAGCUGCGCACACCCCACUCCUGACCCAAGAACACUAGGGGUCACUGGAUUAUUUUUAGAUAAGCCUUGGAGCCCAGCCUACAGCAUCUGCCUCACUGCUUUGGGUGGAGUUGCAAUAGCAUGAAUGGAGCUGCCAGGCCAGUUUCUCAGCUCUACGGCUUGGUGCAUGGCCGCUCUGGUUGCAGGGCUAGCCUUUGUCCUGGCUGGGUUCUCCACAGGACGAGCCAGUCACCACCACCACCACCACCUAGCGCCAGUGUGAGCUCUGUGCCCUGCUGUGGCCUCUCUUCAGCAGAGUUCCUUCAUUCCAGAGCCCUGGUCCUCCCUGUCUGGCCUGUCCCUAGAUAGCACCAGCACUGGCCAACGCAGCAACUGGGUGACAAAGACUAUGCUCCACAAUGCCCCUCUCCUCUGCCCCUUUGCUCCUGUCAGUCCACGUCUUUCCUUUCUCUGCAGCCUUCAUUGUUCAAUGCUCUGCCCACCCUGCUAACCGCCCCCAGAAUCCUGCUGACUUCCUCCCUUCUGGCUUCACCCAUAGCUUCCCCCCCGCUGAUAGAGCCCUGUGUCUCUUCCACACCAGCCCCUGUGGUCCCUUCUCAAACGCUGGGCCCCUCCUACUCUGCCCAGAAUCCUGACAAUCUUUUCCAGCAAAAUUCACCACCUGGCAGCUGUUUCCCUCACCUGCCCCUCGACCCCCUUACUCCUCCUCUCCUCCACUUAAACAUUCCUCCCAUUCUUUGGCUCCUUUCCCUUGGCCUACAAGUGGACACUCAUCUCCUCCAUCCAGAAAAACCUCCCCCCAGUCCCACCUGCCUCUGCAGCCACUGGCCAGCUCCCUCCCUCCCAGUCUGCAGAAACAGGGUAUCUGACACUGAGCUGCAGGUCAACUAUCGGGGGUAGCCAUGUUAGUCGUAUCCACAAAAACAACAAGGAGUCCGGUGGCACCUUAAAGACUAACAGAUUUAUUUGAGCUGCAGGUGUAAUCUCUGGUGUGGGCAGACAGAUCCAGCUAGCAUGCUACAAGGAGCUAUGGCUGCCCAGGCAGUGGGAUGGGCUAGCAGCCCCGAGUACAAACCCUGCCUAUGUACAGGGGCUGGCCAGGACCCGCCCCUACACUAUUUUCAGGGCUGGACCUUCCCUUGGAGCUAGUGCGGGUCUGUCUACCUGAGCCAGAACGUCAGCUCAAGCGUAGACGUCUGAAGGAGCUUGGGCAGGGCAGCGAAGGGGGGUAGAGGUGACUGACAGCAUCAACAAUGCGGGGAGGAGGGGAAAUCUGAAGGUAAAAGUAAAUGGGGAGAAAACAAGUACAAAGCCCAACUGUUGUCAGCUCUUAUGGACAGGCACGGUCUGUUCUUUGUCCAGCACCUCGUGCAGUGGGGCCCUGGGCCGGAUCUGGUGCUCCUAGGCCCUUUGCUAAUACCAGUGAUAGAAUCUGCCCUGCAGAAGGAGGGGAAGUACCAGGGUGACCAUCUGGAAAGCAAGGGGCAGGAGUGAACAUGCACCAUGGGAACUGGGUGAGCCCAGACGCUCCCUUGGAGAGCCUGCUCCGGGCACUGGCUAGAAUAGACUGAAAAGCCAGCAGCCCGGUUCCAGGGCAGAAAAGUCCCCAGCCCCCACAGCAGAUACUACGGGCCCCUCUCCCACAACCAUCCUGUUAGUGAGAGGCUGAUGCUACUCCCAGCACUUUAACCCUGCAUGCCCCAAGCACCUGCGUAUCCCACCUCCCCCGCCUCAAAGCCCUCUGCCCUAGCUCUCCAUGGCCUUUGCACCCACUGCUGUCCCUGCCUUGAUGGCUCUUCCCCCUCAGCGUCUGUAACAAGCUGCUUCCUUCCCAGCUCAGUGCGCGCUCUGCCCCGGGAAAGGAUGGCCCAGAUGUGCUGCAGAAGCUUGGAAA